rnacentral:lncRNA from 1 species
GUAAUCCUAUUUAUUUUUCUUCAAAUUCCCCUUAUAGAUGCUCAGUGGUACGUUGUACAUUUUAGGACAUCCCUACUCCGUAGGAGGUCCUAAAAUGUACACCGUGCAGCAUACCUUAAAGUGUUACCAAGCAAUGAUCUGAUGCAUAGAACAUACAUGUUUCUCCCCAGCCCUGGGCACGAGGAGGUAAAGGAACUCUGUAUCAAAGCUGAGAGAUACUGAGUGUAGCUGCUAUGUGUGCAGUGUGACAGCCUGGUUUCAAGAUGUCGUGCAGACACUCCCAGCGCUACACAUGUUUUACUGGUGGCAUUCACUAUGUUCCCCUGCUAUUUGACAGGAAAACCCCAGCUUGUCAUAUAUCAGUUUCUGUUGUAAAAAAAAUAUUUAAAACUUUUUUAAGUCAUCAUUUUCUAUUCUUCAUGACUGUCUUUGCCAGGGAUUACUGUAGAUUGAUAGGAAUCAUGUCACCAGGUGUAAACUGGGUGUUGAACAGGUGUCAGUGUGAACAGGUGUCAGUGUGAACAGGUGUCAUUGUGAACAGGUGUCAGUGUGAACAGGUGUCAGUGUGAACAGGUGUCAGUGUGAAAAGGUGUCAGUGUGAACAGGUGCUGAACAUCCUCACAUCAAAGAUAGGAACUGAAUGACACUGAUCAUUACAGUAAAGUAAACUGGGAGCAAGAACAUACAAGGUAUAUGUGGUGUGUGUGUGUGUGUGUGUGUGUGUGUGUGUGUGUGUGUGUGUGUGUGUGUGUGUGUGUGUGUGUGUGUGUGUGUGUGUGUGUGUGUGUGUGUGUGUGUGUUUGCUCCAUACUCCUCCAUACUCUUCCAUACUGCUCCAUACUCCUCCAUACUCCUCCAUACUGCUCCAUACUCCUCCAUACUCAUCCAUACUGCUCUCCCUCCAGCUGGUUGAAAUAGGAUUUUUACUCAUUCACCCUUUACUCUGGAUGUAGCCUAGCUGUGGCAGCUCCAUCCAAUAACAGGGUUCAGUAAUGAAAACACACUGGUCACAGUCCACAACCGCACCAAAAGUGGAAACAAAUUGUCACGCCCUGACCUGAGAGAGACGGUUUAUUUCUCUAUGUGGUUAGGUCAGGGUGUGGGGUGGGCAUUCUAUGUUUUGUAUUUCUUUGUGUUGGGCCGAGUAGGGUUCCUAAUCAGAGGCAGCUGUCUAUCAUUGUCUCUGAUUAGGAAUCAUACUUAGGCAGCCUUUUCCCACCUGUGUGUGUUGGGUAGUUGUUUUCUGUUUUGUGUUUUACCUGACAGAACUGUGCACUUUCGUUUCCAUUGUUUAUAAUUUUGUUUAAGUGUUCUGAGUAAAACUAAAUAUCAAGAUGAACACUUACCACGCUGCACCUUGGUCCCCUCAUUGCGACGGUUGUUACAGAACUACCCACCACAACUGGAUCAAGCAGGAGAUGGAUUCCUGGUCUCUGGAAGAGUGGGAGGAGAGAAUAGACUGGACUUGGGGGCAAGUAUUGGACAGAUAUAGAAACCUGCCAGGGAGGCAAGGAAGGAAGCACGAGAGGCAGCCCCCAAAAUAUUUUUUGGGGGGGCACACGGGUAGAUUGGCGGAGUCAGGGUUGAGACCUGAGCCAACACACCGUGCUUAUCGUGGUGAGCAUGUGCCUGCUUCUCGCACUCUCCCUCCAGUGCGCCUCCACAGCCCUGUACGUCCUGUGCCUGCUCCUCGCACUCUCCCUCCAGUGAUUCUAUUCAGCCUGGUACGCCCUGUGCCUGCUCCACGUACCAGGCUGUCAGUACGUCUCCUCAGUCCGGUGAGACCCGUUCCAGCUCCACGAGAGAAGCCUCCAGUGAUGAUCCAUGGUCCGAAGCCUCCAGUGAUGAUCCAUGGCAUGAAGCCUCCAGUGAUGAUCCAUGGCCCAGAGCCUGUAGGGAUAAUCCAUGACAAGAAGUCUGUAGAGAUGAUCCAUGCCCGGAGCCUGUAGGGAUAAUCCAUGGCAAGAAGCCUGUAGAGAUGAACCAUGGCCCGGAGCCUGUAGGGAUGAUCCAUGGCAUGAAGCCUCCAGUGAUAAUCCAUGGCCCGGAGCCUCCAGUGAUGAUCCAUGGCACAAAGCCUCCAGUGAUGAUCCAUGGUGCAGAACCUGUAGUGUUGAUCCAUGGCACGGAGCCUGCAGCGACGGUCCCCAGUCCGGAACCUACAGCGACGCUCCCCAGUCCGGAACCUUCAGCGACGCUCCCCAGUCUGGAGGCUCCAGCGACGCUCCCCAGUCCGGAGCCUCCAGCGACGCUCCCCAGUCUGGAGGCUCCAG